rnacentral:misc_RNA from 1 species
GAUGAAGAACGCAGCGAAAUGCGAUAAGUAAUGUGAAUUGCAGAAUUCAGUGAAUCAUCGAAUCUUUGAACGCACAUUGCGCCCGCCAGUAUUCUGGCGGGCAUGCCUGUCUGAGCGUCAUUUCAACCCUCAUGCCCCUAGGGCGUGGUGUUGGGGAUCGGCCAAAGCCCGCGAGGGACGGCCGGCCCCUAAAUCUAGUGGCGGACCCGUCGUGGCCUCCUCUGCGAAGUAGUGAUAUUCCGCAUCGGAGAGCGAUGAGCCCCUGCCGUUAAACCCCCAACUUUCCAAGGUUGACCUCAGAUCAGGUAGGAAUACCCGCUGAACUUAAGCAUAUCAAUAAGCGGAGG